UGCGCCCUGGGGAGGAUGCGUCGCUUGGAGUGUCGGCCAGCUGCUGCUAAUAUGACUUGACUACUCGAGGAGUGCCUAUUAAGUCUGCUGGGUCUCAGAUCAGGAAGAAGGGCUAUGUGUAUUGGUACGUCUUAUCCAUGAAAAGGUGAAUCCUGCAGAACAGAGACCUCAUUGAAGACUGACAUGUCGUGGUUGGUUAUGACAAAUCACGAGGAAUUUGAGAUUAAGGAAUUAAGCAGCCUUUAAUAAAGCAAGAUGGACCAUGAAGAGUACUGGGAGAAAUGGGAAGGUCUCAGAUCCGGCAGCAUAAGGGCUGAAGCAACAUUCACAGUAUGGAUCAUGCGGAGGCCACGUGGUAUUAGCUCACUUGCUCUGCAGUUUAUUGAUUUGGCGCUGAGAAGCCUGAGAGAUAGUGGUGCUGGAGACUGGGAAAAAAAAUAGAGGAUCCAGAAGAAAGAACAAGAUACUAGAGUUGUGUGCACGCAUGUGAGAUCCUCCUCUCAGAAUGGAGACCUGCAGCUUCCAGAGAGAAGACCUUUUUGAAAGGAGAGCUUUGUUGGACCUCUGUGAAUUAAGGAAGCAAGCCAUGUGAAGUUCAGGUCAGGUGUGUGUCUGGAAACUAUACUAGGCAAAAGGACUGAAGGAAGGAUGAGUUUGGUGAGAACAACCUUGAUCUUCCUCAGUUGUCUCCCUCUGGCCAAACCCAACAAGCAGCUCGAGAUAUAAGGAGCGCACUGACCACAGUUGAUAUUGUUCAGUUUCCUGGGACAUAGGAGGGCAAACGAAGACCAUCCAGCACAGCCAGGCCCUGGAGGCUGACUGGCCAUUAAACACAGAAUGAUGACUGGUGCAGCAGGUGCAGCGAAGUGGGAAGGUGUGGAGCAAAUAAAACAAGUCCAUGGCAUCUAUAAGAAGUGUUGACCCCCAGGAAAUUUAAAGGUUCAUGCACUGUGGUAUUCAUGACGUAUGUGUGAGAGGCAUGAUGGCAAGUGUAUUUCUCAUGAAAGUACUUCAAUUACUUGCAUAUUGUUAUUUCUUUAGAAUUCCCAGGUCCUACACUAUACAAUUACUUAAGACUCAAAGAGACCUAUGACUUGCUUUGACAGAUUGUCCUUUAAUGCAAUGCAUUGGCCCAGUGUCAAUGGGAGUGUUGCCUGAGCUACACCCUUUGCUAAAAUAAUUUUCUAAACCUACUGCUGUGAGUCAACUGUUCUCUUCCCGUAAGUUUUCCUUGACACCCUUUGACAUCUGCAUCAAAUUGAAGCUUCUUAUUAGCACC